AGUCAGUCCCUGUUUCCUGAUCAAUACCGUCACAGCAAUAAAUAUGUUUUAUUGUGACAUACACCGGAUAGGUGCAGUGAAAUGUGUUGUUUUACAGGGUCAGUCAUAGUAGUACGGCCCCCUGGAGAAAAUUAGGGUUAAGUGCACAUCGACAUAUUUCUCACCUUGUCGGCUCGGGUAUACGAACCAGCAAUGUUUUGGUUACUGGCCCAACGCUCUAACCGCCAGGCUACCUGCCACCCUUUAUACAUUUACAUUUUGUUACCAAUAAACUAAUGCAGAUAGAUUCUACCCCCUGUCUGUGUGUACCUGUCAGGUUCCUGGAGAGCCAGCUGCGGAGCCAGCACUCUCAGGAGGAGGCGGAGUUGGAAGCCCUGAGGCUGCAGGUUAAACUGACCUGCUCUGAACCCUCCUCCACUGCACACCAGCAGAUUGUGAAGACUCUGGCCCUGUACACCCCUCACAGUGACCUAGAGGGUCUGCUGAAGGAGCGUUGCUGAUGGACGUACAGCGUGUGUUCACCCAGACCGUCCGCUCUGACCAGCUGGACAUCCCAGACUCCGUUAAGAUGUGUUUCCUGCAACGGGCCUGAGAGGAAGCAGUAGUUAUACAGGUCUUUCACUGUGGAUUACAAGUCUUGGUACUGCUGCAGAAGUCUUUUCUCUGCAGGAUAUAUAGUAUAUCAAAGUAAUACGUGAGUAAUGUGUGUGUGUAAUUGUCUUAUUUUGCAUUACUCCUAUCAGUAGCACAUGUACAAGCACAAUAUUACUGUUCUUAAUGAGCUAUUAGAAUGCUCAUAUGGAUUUUAUUCUUAUCUGUUUCAUAGUAUUGAUUUUUGACAGACAUUUCCUUAUCUGUACUAAGAUUACAGUAUUGCCUAUCUGCUACUAGACAUUUCCUAAUUGGAGGCAUCCCACCUUCCUCAAUGCCUACCUACGUGUACAUUGGAAAUGUGUGCUUAAUACAUUUAGAAAUUGGUAAUAUGUUCCAGAUAUCAGAAUACAUUAUUAUAAUUAUACAAAUGUAAACACAAUAGUGUAAAUAUGUUUCUCACUCUGAUCCAAAUGGACACUAUGAAAAUGAGAGAUUCUCUCUUAACAUUUUAUUGGAAGCAGAAACGCNNNNNNNNNNCACACACACACACCCCAAUAAGAACACCCAGAAUAAAACAAAAUAGAAACAUCUUCAGUAUAAAAAAAUCCUCUCAUGCGAGUACUUUGUAACAGUCACACAUCAUCAGCAGUACAUACAUAUAUAUAUAUAUAUAUUCACAAACCUCUGAAAAUGUUUAAAUAAUAUUAAGAUAAACGAAGAAGACAAUUGCCAAAUAUAACAUCAAAUAACACGUGCUGGCACAA
rnacentral:lncRNA from 13 species